rnacentral:lncRNA from 1 species
GACUUAUUGGUUUUGACACUUAAAAAAAUCCCUAUAAGUCCCACCUAAACCAAACACAAGGGACUUAUUGGGACUUAUUAUGGUGAUUUGGGACUUAUCAAAUAAGACUCUCUAGUAGGAGCUUAUUGGGACUUAUUGCUCGUAGCCCGCGGAAAAAGUCUCCCGCAUCGAUCGAGUGUCCGCCGCCCUACCCCUCGUCGCUCGCACCGCCCUACCCCUCGUCGUUCGCAGGCCCCAAUCGCCGCCGCCCCAUCGCCACAUCGCCGCCCGCCCCGUCGCCACCCGGUCCGUCGCCGCCCCGCCCCGUCGCCGCCCGGUCGUCCCGUUUUCUGCCUCGGUUCGUCCCCCCCGCCGCCCCGUUUCUGCAUUGGUUCUUCCCCCCGUCGCCCCGUUCUGCAUCGCUGGAGUUUUCUGGUCCGCAUGGUUAUGUGAACAAGUGUAUUUUAUUAGGUGUAACAUGAACUUAUAAGUCCCUGUAAACAAAUAGGUAGGGACUCGAGACUUAUAAGUCCCUGUAAACAAACAGGUAG